AUUUACAUAAUAUAAUAAUUAUAUUUAACUUCCAAUUAAAAAAUCUAGAUAUCUAGUGUAAAUA
rnacentral:tRNA from 1 species